rnacentral:rRNA from 1 species
GAUGAACGCUAGCGGGAGGCCUAACACAUGCAAGCCGAGCGGUAUUGUUUCUUCGGAAAUGAGAGAGCGGCGUACGGGUGCGGAACACGUGUGCAACCUGCCUUUAUCUGGGGGAUAGCCUUUCGAAAGGAAGAUUAAUACUCCAUAACAUAUUGAUUGGCAUCAAUUAAUAUUGAAAGCUCCGGCGGAUAGAGAUGGGCACGCGCAAGAUUAGCUAGUUGGUGAGGUAACGGCCCACCAAGGCGAUGAUCUUUAGGGGGCCUGAGAGGGUGAUCCCCCACACUGGUACUGAGACACGGACCAGACUCCUACGGGAGGCAGCAGUGAGGAAUAUUGGUCAAUGGGUGCAAGCCUGAACCAGCCAUCCCGCGUGAAGGACGACUGCCCUAUGGGUUGUAAACUUCUUUUGUAUAGGGAUAAACCUACCCUCGUGAGGGUAGCUGAAGGUACUAUACGAAUAAGCACCGGCUAACUCCGUGCCAGCAGCCGCGGUAAUACGGAGGGUGCAAGCGUUAUCCGGAUUUAUUGGGUUUAGAGGGUCCGUAGGCGGACUUAUAAGUCAGUGGUGAAAGCCUGUCGCUUAACGAUAGAACUGCCAUUGAUACUGUAAGUCUUGAGUAUAUUUGAGGUAGCUGGAAUAAGUAGUGUAGCGGUGAAAUGCAUAGAUAUUACUUAGAACACCAAUUGCGAAGGCAGGUUACCAAGAUAUAACUGACGCUGAGGGACGAAAGCGUGGGGAGCGAACAGG